rnacentral:rRNA from 1 species
GUUAACGUGAAGAACCUUACCAAAUCUUGACAUCCUUUGACAACUCUAGAGAUAGAGCCUUCCCCUUCGGGGGACAAAGUGACAGGUGGUGCAUGGUUGUCGUCAGCUCGUGUCGUGAGAUGUUGGGUUAAGUCCCGCAACGAGCGCAACCCUUAAGCUUAGUUGCCAUCAUUAAGUUGGGCACUCUAAGUUGACUGCCGGUGACAAACCGGAGGAAGGUGGGGAUGACGUCAAAUCUUCAUGCCCCUUAUGAUUUGGGCUACACACGUGCUACAAUGGACAAUACAAAGGGCAGCGAAACCGCGAGGUCAAGCAAAUCCCAUAAAGUUGUUCUCAGUUCGGAUUGUAGUCUGCAACUCGACUACAUGAAGCUGGAAUCGCUAGUAAUCGUAGAUCAAGCA